AGAAAUGACAGUGUAAUGCCACUCUGGUCAAUGAGACCUAAGAGGAAGUCUACUGAAGAUACCUGGGAAAGAUUUACCAUGCUGAAAAAAGACACAGAGAAUGCCAACUGCAAAGAAGCUGCGAUGGGAUGGGAGAGUGCCUGGCACCUUCAAAGAGUACCAAACAGACCUCUAUGGCUACAGCGGAAUGGGAUCAUGGCAUCUUGAAGAAAAGAGGAAGAGAGAGUUUCUAGGGCAAAUGGCUUGUUUUUUAUGUUAGAGAUGAACCAAAAGUUGCACAUUUCACCUCUGCUCACAUCC